GAUGCACAGGCAUGAGGUCCUAGGUCCCCAGCACCAAAAAAAAUUUCCAAACCUCACAUCAUUCCAUGGUUCUUGGUCUCUGCUCCUCCUCAGGUCUCAAGCUACAAGGGAAAGGCAGGGAAGGGCUUCUCUUGAGAGUGCCUGUGAAAGUAUUUGAGGCAAAAUUGGAGACCUGGUUGCCUGGCGACCAGAUGAUCUUGAACUUUAGUUGCCUUGGCAACAGCAGGGCCCUUUCUACUGUACCUUUAAGGUUAGCCCCAGUUAUCAGGAGCUGGCAGUGGAAGGUCUGGUUCCAAAUGGACAUUCUUCGAUGCUGCCACCCUCCAGCAAUAACUUCAUGAAUAUUUAACAGAUGCUUGCUAAUGUGAUGGAAUUGGAAAGUCAGAGUUCCUACAUUCAAGGAUCGGAGGCUAAAGAAGGUAUCGCAUGACACCUACUCGGCUUCAGACUGAAAGUGCAUCUCGAAAUUAUUGAGACCGUGCCUCACAAAUCCACCUUGGGUAGAACAUCCAGAACUCCUAAGGGAAGUCGGUCCCUGAGCACUCACCACUGCUCCCAGUACUCGGUGUCUCCAGGAUGAUCAGCAAAACAUUAGGUUGGGCUCCUCUGGGGAAGAGCUAAAAGUGCUUUAUUAGCCUGCUCCAGCCUAGUCACCUCAAAAUUCCUGGCAACCAGUUACAGUCCUUUGCAUAUCAUGGCAUGAACUCA